AAAAAAGUGAUUUCUUCUGUUUCAAAGUUAUUUCAAGUUCUCAAACCCAAACCAACCUUUGCUCUUGAUUUUGGCUGGGUGAAUUGUGAGUGGUGGGCACAGGUCAUGUCAUUCAUGCUGAUGUGAGUGAUGCUUUCUGGGGGCAGAGCAGCUGAUUUCCAAAGUUCACUUCCUGCCCCAUGCCUGAUCUGCACAGGAGAAAACCUCUUCCAUGAAGGGAUUUUGCUCCAUCUGAUCCCAUCUGCCCAGUCUGUUCCAUGAGGAUAUUGCCAGGCUGGAGCAGCACAGGCAGAUGCAGCUCUCAGCACUCUCUGCUCCAAACACAGCUCUGGGCUCCUUUGCAAAGUGCCUCUGCCAUGAGGUUUUCUCCAGGAGAGAUCAAGGAAUGGCUCAUGGCAGGGUGGAGAUUUCAUUAUCACAAAGGGAAGCAAAGGAUAAAUAUUCCUGUAAGAGCCUUUGGGACCUUCUGGGCUGAAUUGGGAAGGGAACGUUCAUUCCCUGCAGGGCAAAUGCACGACAACCUCCAACACAAAGCACAGACUGUCAGGUGGGGUCUGACAGCACCACUUUGACAAACUUCACUGUCAUUAUUCUUUUCAGGGACUUUUCCAAUCAAACUCGGAAGCGGACAAGCCCAAAGCUCUGUCUGGCUGCUCAGGAACAAAAGGAACAAAACUGCCAGGGGCCCCAUUUGUGAGCUAUUCAAUCCUUUGCCAUCGGACUUUGGACAAAGGAAGAGAAGGAUCUGUUCCACACGGGUGUCAUCCAACAAGAACAGCCCCUGUGCCAUCCCCAGCCUGUGCCGAGCACACUGCCUCACUUUCCCCGUUCUGGAUUCUGGCUCCAAUCCAGUCUGCGUUUUCCCCUAUUUUCCAUGUCUAGAGACAGGAAAUUGUCCUGGUCAGGGUGCUAAGACCUUAAACUGCACGUUGGUCUGGGGGGCUGUGACUGGGAUUCCAGCAGGGAAUUCAUGGUUGUACGAAUGAAAACUAUUCCAGGGGGCAGCACUGAAAAAGUUGGGAGCUGCUGCUUCACCACACGGUGUCAGCAAAAGAGAGCACACACAAAAUGUGUAGCCAAAACCAAGGAUAAAAUGAUUCCUCCUGCUCUUAGUGGGACCAGGGCUAAUUCUGCCCUGGAAUGACAAAGACCUUCUCCCUCAGACCCCCAGAGAGCCCUCGAAAAGCUAAAGUGCAGCAGGGAAGGAAGGAAGGAAAGGCACCUCUGCCUCACCUGCUGGGGACAGCACAGGUCCUGCUGCUCCCGGGGGCUGGGAAUGUGUCCGGAGCCAAAAGCACCUUCCCAGGCUGCAGGGGCUUUCCUAAAGCACCACCUGUGGGAAGCCAAGGGCUGUGGAAGAAAUGGAGUGGGACUUUACAGUAAUAGCAAUAAUAGUAAUAAUAGGGAAGAGCAGCAAAGGGAGCAACAGUAAUUCCAGGAGGGAGCAGGAGGGAUGCUGAGCUUUAAAUGAGGUUUGAGUGAGGCAGCAUCUCCUGGGAUUUCUAAAGCACAGCUCCAGGCCUGGGAUUACACGAGCAGGGCAAGCUCCUACUGUCCAAUCCCUGGAUUUGCCUCCUGCCAGCGCUCGGCACCUCGGGCGUGUUUGGGGGCAAGGGCUCCAGUGCUGCUGCCUUGAGGGAUUGGGAAAAUGGGCAUUAAACCCCUUCCCACAGGGCUGGCUCUGAGCUCUGGCUGGGGACAGCAUUUGGCACCUCGGUUUCCAUCAUUUUGAAGGUACACUGAAUAAACCCGGGGGAGAUAAAUAAACCUUUCUCCAUAAGGACAGCCCCAGGGAAUACACAAUUAUUCCUAUGCCAGCAGCCAGAUUUCGGGGAGAGACUCCAGACUCUUGUCUCCCUCCCUGGCUGUAAAACACUUGCAGAGGCUUUGGAGUUCAUACAAGCUUGUCAGGAUUUGGACACUUCAUUUAAAUUCCAUUCAUAUAUGAAGGAAUUGGAAGUGUCCUAAAGGCACCUCCACCCAUACUUUAAUUUUAAGCCCUCUAUCACCAAUGAAUUUGGAUGUUCUUUUGUUAGGAACACCCCACCUCUGCUUCUUUAGGUGCCUCCAUGUGGGAGAGAAAAUAAAUGUGGACAAAAGUUUGGAAUGCAGCUUCCAAGUCAAGUUCCCUGCUAGGAAAUGACUCCAGCUCUCUGUUACCUCGGGCUAUUCUAAACACAGCCUGGCCCUUCAGGGCUGCAGACUCUGAGCUACACAGCUUGUGAACUGGCAAGUAACAGCAGCUGUGGUCUCAUCCCAACUGGGAUUUGGGGAUCUGAAACAGGGAUUGGGGGCUGAAUCUGGAUACAUGUAGACAGGUUUGGGCCACUUCAGAAAGCUUCAAUCCCUGUUUUUCAGAGAUUCCAUCAGAGAUAAUGACGUUUCCACAGAUCUCUCUUAAGGCACAUGAGAAUCUGAGUAAGAAAACAGAAUCAAACCCUUUGUUCCAUUGGCCUCAUGCCCUGAAUUCCAAUGGGACAGACCCGUCCCUCUCUUUAGAAGGCAACGUCUCCUACCUGGACCUGUGCCUUCCCCAGCCUUCAGUGGCCACUGUCUCCAUCCUCCCACACCUUCUCAUCUUCCUUCUUUGCAGGGUUGGCUUCCUCAUCCUGCAGAGCAAACACAGGGACAGUUACCAGGCCUGCUCAUCCCAAACCAGGGCAGCAGGGAUGGACUGGUGGGACCCUAUGUGAGUCAAGGUUCUAAAAUGUUAAAAUUCUAGCUAAAAGUUAGAAGAAAUUUGUAUUAAUUAAGAUACAGAGUAGAGAAACAAAAGAUAAGUUAAUGAUUAGUAGAUGCCUAAACUAGAGCCAAGUGAUGUAUUAUUUGCCAUUAUGUUUUAAGUUUUGUUUGUAGAAGGAAACAGAAUAAAUGAACUGUCAUCAAAACAAAUUGAAACUAAUUGAAACCAAUAGAACUAAGAACAGCACCUGGGUUUGUAAUAAUUAAUCAAAAGUAGGAGAUCUUGGGCUGCACCAAGAGGUCAUGAAGGCCUGCCAACAGCAAGAAGGUAAAAAGGUUACUGUGAGGAAGACAUUCCUGACUUCAUCUUUCAGGACCACUGACCCAAUUCGACACCACCAACCCACUUCAAGAGAGAAACUGCGCCUGCGUGAGAGACCAAUGAUCUCAUUUUAAUACGAAGCAGAGGAUGGGAGGUGCUGGGGUCAUACAUAUGUAGAAGAUGUAAAACUGUGUGUAAUAAAUAGAGAAUGAAGAACCUUGUA